CAUUCACACAAUAGACUUUUAAUUCUGACAGAACAUGGCAUCCAUUUAAUUUUGUCUAGCCCAUCAAGUUUCAGAAACUAUUUGGCGGUAGAUCACUCUGCUUCAGACUAAAAAACAAUUUAUGAACAUCCUGUAAAGCUAUGUUCCCUUCCAGCUUGAGAAGCUUUACUCUAAACUAGUUUAAACCUCUCCACUAAUGGAUAAAGGAAAUG
rnacentral:lncRNA from 1 species